AAAUCUUUCAACAAGGGGCAGGCAGCCUCUCAGGAAAGAACUGUCACAUCUGCUUACAUCAUUGUGUCUCAUUAAACUGGCAAAUGCAGCUCUUGUAAUCAUAAGUCCAGACAACGCAUCAUCCCACCAGCCAUCAAAAAGACAAAGAAGCUAUUUUGAAUUCAGGAUUCUCAAAAAAGAAAUAGAAAACAACACAAAAGCCCUCACCAGAUUUCAAUUCUUUUGUUAAAAAGAAGAAAACCCAACCAACCCAGAUUCUAAAAGCUUCUAAAAGAUAUAUUUAAGGAAAUACCUCAGCAUUUUUCCAGUACCUUUCAGCUGUGGCGCCAGGACAAGGCAUGACAAUGUCUGUGACUUCUUAGGUUGAUCCAAUCCAGUACCUUCAUCCACUGAAUCUCGUUAUGUGGGUGCUUUGGAGCAAGGACCUUCUACAGCCUGUAAGUCUGGAAGUUGUCUUGAACUCGUAAAAACUCUGCAUCUCCUCCAUCAGGUGUGACAUCCUCUCAGAUUUUAAGUCAUAAACAGAAAAAGAAAAUCAAAGUGAUGCAUACAGCAGUUUGACCUUCACAGCUGCAAAGCCAGAAGAAAUUUUCUCCCUAUAUAGGAAAUAGUGCACAGAUAGGGACCACAGCAGCAUCUGACUGGUCAAAUCUUGUGCCUUUCACACCCCCCAAGACAACAGGAGAAGCAGACUCCACGCCUACACUGCUGGAUCUCAAUUCUCUUCUCACUUUUUACCCCAUCAGACACAAGAACAAGGUCUGGCCUGUACCUGGGGGUUUCCAUUUACUCUCUUCACUUGUGUGACAGCAACGCUGGCUGGAAAGUGAGCGAUAGCGCCUAAUUCUACUACUACAGAAAUAAGGAGGAGUUUCCCCACUGAUUUCAAAAGAUGUAAACCUACUGAACUAAAGCCAGAACACGGAACAGUUAGUGUGGCCUCAGUAUGCAGUCUGCAAAAAGGAAAGAAGUCAUAAACACACAGCAUUGGACUCAGUCAUCAACACUAAAGUCAAGGACUCCCCUUGGCUUUUGCCAGCACACACUACAGCACUGACCCUUUAGAAUUGAGCAGUAGUGCAGAGAUGUCACCAUAACAUCCCUCAUGCUGCAAAGAAAGGUGCAGAAACUGGUUCAGCACUGGCUAAAGCGAGGCAUGGAAUUCAGGUGAACUUCAAUUUGCACCAUGAAGGAUCAUCACAGUGAGACCUCAGGGGUACAGAGGGGUAUGAAUUGAAGUGAAGAUAAUCAAAGAGGGACUCAGUGGGGGUCAGGGUUGCACUUUCU